GAUGAACGCUGGCGGCGUGCCUAAUACAUGCAAGUCGAGCGAACGGACGAGAAGCUUGCUUCUCUGAUGUUAGCGGCGGACGGGUGAGUAACACGUGGAUAACCUACCUAUAAGACUGGGAUAACUUCGGGAAACCGGAGCUAAUACCGGAUAAUAUUUUGAACCGCAUGGUUCAAAAGUGAAAGACGGUCUUGCUGUCACUUAUAGAUGGAUCCGCGCUGCAUUAGCUAGUUGGUAAGGUAACGGCUUACCAAGGCAACGAUGCAUAGCCGACCUGAGAGGGUGAUCGGCCACACUGGAACUGAGACACGGUCCAGACUCCUACGGGAGGCAGCAGUAGGGAAUCUUCCGCAAUGGGCGAAAGCCUGACGGAGCAACGCCGCGUGAGUGAUGAAGGUCUUCGGAUCGUAAAACUCUGUUAUUAGGGAAGAACAUAUGUGUAAGUAACUGUGCACAUCUUGACGGUACCUAAUCAGAAAGCCACGGCUAACUACGUGCCAGCAGCCGCGGUAAUACGUAGGUGGCAAGCGUUAUCCGGAAUUAUUGGGCGUAAAGCGCGCGUAGGCGGUUUUUUAAGUCUGAUGUGAAAGCCCACGGCUCAACCGUGGAGGGUCAUUGGAAACUGGAAAACUUGAGUGCAGAAGAGGAAAGUGGAAUUCCAUGUGUAGCGGUGAAAUGCGCAGAGAUAUGGAGGAACACCAGUGGCGAAGGCGACUUUCUGGUCUGUAACUGACGCUGAUGUGCGAAAGCGUGGGGAUCAAACAGGAUUAGAUACCCUGGUAGUCCACGCCGUAAACGAUGAGUGCUAAGUGUUAGGGGGUUUCCGCCCCUUAGUGCUGCAGCUAACGCAUUAAGCACUCCGCCUGGGGAGUACGACCGCAAGGUUGAAACUCAAAGGAAUUGACGGGGACCCGCACAAGCGGUGGAGCAUGUGGUUUAAUUCGAAGCAACGCGAAGAACCUUACCAAAUCUUGACAUCCUUUGACAACUCUAGAGAUAGAGCCUUCCCCUUCGGGGGACAAAGUGACAGGUGGUGUAUGGUUGUCGUCAGCUCGUGUCGUGAGAUGUUGGGUUAAGUCCCGCAACGAGCGCAACCCAUAAGCUUAGUUGCCAUCAUUAAGUUGGGCACUCUAAGUUGACUGCCGGUGACAAACCGGAGGAAGGUGGGGAUGACGUCAAAUCAUCAUGCCCCUUAUGAUUUGGGCUACACACGUGCUACAAUGGACAAUACAAAGGGCAGCGAAACCGCGAGGUCAAGCAAAUCCCAUAAAGUUGUUCUCAGUUCGGAUUGUAGUCUGCAACUCGACUACAUGAAGCUGGAAUCGCUAGUAAUCGUAGAUCAGCAUGCUACGGUGAAUACGUUCCCGGGUCU
rnacentral:rRNA from 1 species